CCAGGAGCUCAUCUAGAAGGAUUAAAUUAUUUUCUUUUUAAGUUCCUCAUUACUCUGCUUCUGGCCAUUAUUUAGAAUCUAAUUUUAUUCUGGCCUGUGGUGCUGUGUUAUCCUACAGCUGUAAAGUGCCUGUUUCAGCCACACGUUGGCAAAGAUUAAUUAAGAUGCUUGCGUAAACAGAAGGCAACAAACUGUAAUAUCGAUUUAAAUGGGAGUUAGCACAUCCCCAUUCUGCUUUCCAAGGCUGGUUUCCUGACUGUGGGCAAAGAUCUGCUAGAUCUGUUUUGCAGCUGGAAGUUGCUAUUCGAAGCAUUCUUUUUGAACAGAUGCAAAAAAUAUGGAUGUGAGCUGAAGUCCUUGAAACGUUUGCUUAGCGGCUUUGCAGGCCGCUCCUAUUUGCAUGAGGUAACGAGGCCUUGUUUGAAAUGUGUUCUGCAAAAACUCAGUCCUGCUCUCCACUUAAUGCAAAUUCCAACUGCACGUUUGGAGAAAAGAAAAAACUAAUACAAACCCUAGAAGACAAGCUCACUUCAUACUCUGCUUCUCAGGAAGCCCAACCUGGCUCACAGUGCUGCUGAACCACGGCCAAAGCUGAGGAACCUCCGCAGCAGAGCACAGAGCCAGUCAGGCUGUGCCCUGGGAAGGGUUUGGGCAGCAUCUGCACCUUGAUGGGGCUGGAGGGAAGCAGGAGGCUGGGCAGGAUGUGGCAGUGGAGCUGGAAUUGGAACCUGGGCAGGCUCCCUGCAGGCAAGGCACCACAGCUGCCAUGAGGAUGUGCGUCUGACCCGUCUGAAAACCUGCAAGUAUCUGCCAGGGUACCAGUUCUUUUGACGUUGACCUGAUCCAGCCCAGGCCAUGGGGCACCAACUGGUCAGAUGCCUGAAAGUGUUCUUGGUUCCACUGAGGCACCGUGCACCUGGAGCAGCACCCUGCUCUGCUUGCGGCUGCUCUGCUGCCCUAAGUAUCAGUGGAUCCCCAAAUCAAAAUGAACACCAUCA
ensembl:lncRNA